rnacentral:rRNA from 1 species
UACGUAGGGGGCAAGCGUUGUCCGGAUUUAUUGGGCGUAAAGAGCGUGUAGGCGGCCUGACAGGUCUGCUGUGAAAACUCGAGGCUCAACCUCGAGAUGUCGGCGGAAACCGUCUGGCUAGAGUCCGGAAGAGGAGAGUGGAAUUCCUGGUGUAGCGGUGAAAUGCGCAGAUAUCAGGAAGAACACCUAUGGCGAAGGCAACUCUCUGGGACGGUACUGACGCUGAGACGCGAAAGCGUGGGGAGCAAACAGG